rnacentral:tRNA from 1 species
GGUCCGGUAGCUCAGCUGGAUAGAGCAACUGCCUUCUAAGCAGUAGGUCAUGUGUUCGAAUCACAUCCGGAUCACAA